rnacentral:lncRNA from 1 species
ACAUGUCAAAAGAAUGCAAGGCUCUUUGUCCAAACCAAGAGAAGCAGGGUCCUGGAGUGGGUGAGCAGAAGGAAAAAUGCAAAGCACACCUUGCAAUGUCAGCUAAACCCUCACCAUUGGAAUGGCAGGACCUGAAUAUAGUUUGAGACCAGCCUGACCUACACAGUGAAACCCUGUCUAUUAAAAAUACACACACCAAAAAACAAUUAGCUGGGCAUGGUGGCAGGUGCCUGUAAUCUCAGCUACUCGGGAGGCUGAGGCAGGAGAAUCACUUG